rnacentral:hammerhead_ribozyme from 1 species
GCACUGCUGUGGAGUCCCACAAUAGGACGAAACGGCCGUCGAGUGU